rnacentral:misc_RNA from 1 species
UUUCCGUAGGUGAACCUGCGGAAGGAUCAUUCAUAAUAAGUGUUUUAUGGCACUUUUUUAAAUUCAUAUCCACCUUGUGUGCAAUGUCAGGGUUGAUUUUUCUCUCGAGAGGAUCGGCCCCAAACAUCAACUAUAUCUCGACUCUUUGUCUGAAAAAUAUUAUGAAUAAAACAAUUCAAAAUACAACUUUCAACAACGGAUCUCUUGGCUCUC